rnacentral:rRNA from 1 species
AUACGUAGGGUGCAAGCGUUAAUCGGAAUUACUGGGCGUAAAGCGUGCGCAGGCGGUUCGGAAAGAAGGAUGUGAAAUCCCAGGGCUCAACCUUGGAACUGCAUUCUUAACUACCGGACUAGAGUAUGUCAGAGGGGGGUAGAAUUCCGCGUGUAGCAGUGAAAUGCGUAGAUAUGCGGAGGAACACCGAUGGCGAAGGCAAUCCCCUGGGCCUGCACUGACGCUCAUGCACGAAAGCGUGGGGAGC